AGCAGGUCAAAACAAAAGAAACAUACUAGUCAUACAAGAAAGAACAUACAAAACGCACAAUACACAGCUACACACAAUAGCACAUCACAAAGUUUGCUUGUCAAGUAAAAGCAAGUCACGAAGACCAUAGAAUAAAGAUCAGUGAGUACAGAGCUGAGCAGUUUUCAACAGACGUUUUAAGUUUUGAAAGUGCUGAUAGAGCUGCAGCUCAUCACAUCGUCAGGCAGGGUGUUCCCCUGAUUUGUGGCCUUAACAGGAAAAAAAGCUAAUUGCCCAAAUGCAGUGAGGCGAAAUGGUACAGUACAAUCUUGCAUAGAAGAUCUUCUUAAGGAUCUAACAGAAUCUACUGAGCGAGAAUGCACAAAAUCACGCAGUGGAGGAGGAUGGGCCAAACCAUUAUGAAUUAUAUAAGCGAGGCACAAAUUUGAAAAUAAUCUAAAAUUCUCAAAGCUCAGUAAAUUAUAUUUCUCCAGUAUUGUACAGUGAUGAGAAUGCAUUUUGUCCAGAGUUUUUAGAGUUUGUUUGUAUAAGGAUUCAAGAGGCCUUAUAGCGGUUUCAGAUCUUUUACUUAAAUAAAAGUAGCACUACUACAGUAUAGAAAUAUUCUCUUAGUCUACAAAUAAAAGGCAUGCGUUCAAACUCCUACUUAAGUAAAAGAAGAAAAGUAUUAGCAUCAAAAUAUACCAAAGGCGAGACGACCCAGGAGAAUAGGGGAAAAAAAACAAAAAAAUCUAAACAGAUACCACCAUGAAACUUCCCCAGUGGAUUACUUUUACAUUUACACUAAGAUUAUUUUUUUUAUUAUUAAAAGUUUUCUGAAAAUGUAUGUUUAAAUAUGCAAGUGAGGCAUUAUCUCAUGAAAUAUGUGUUAAUUUGCAUACAUUUCCAGAUCGGAAAUCUGAAGACUGAAUAAAGUCAGGUUCAAAGUUGUGGUUUCAUUUUGUUGACAUAUUAGAAUCAAAUGUUUUUACAGAGGGCAUUCUCUUUUUAUCACUCAGUAAAUGAGAAAAUACUGUCCAACAGCU